UGCGCAGGCGGUUCGUUUUGUGGGUGGUGAAAUCUCCUGGCUCAACUGGGAGGGUGCCAUCCAAACGGGCGAACUUGAGGCGUGGAGAGGGACGUGGAAUUCCGGGUGGAGCGGUGAAAUGCGUAGAGAUCCGGAGGAACACCGACGGCGAAGGCAGCGUCCUGGCCACGACCUGACGCUCAGGCACGAAAGCUGGGGGAGCAAACAGGAUUAGAUACCCUGGUAGUCCCAGCUGUAAACGAUGUCCACCAGGUGCUGGAGGUAUCGACCCCUUCGGUGCCGAAGCUAACGUGAUGAGUGGACCGCCUGGGGAGUACGGCCGCAAGGUUAAA
rnacentral:rRNA from 1 species